rnacentral:sRNA from 1 species
UGGAAAGGAACUUUCGCUAAAGGCGGUGCCAUUCCUGUGCACAACGCGGAAGUGACCGCAUCCUGCGGA